AACGUAGGAGACAAACGUUAUCCGGAGUUACUGGGCGUAAAGCGCACGUAGGCGGCUUUGUAAGUUAGAGGUGAAAGCCCCGGGGGCUCAACUCCGGGAAUUGCCUUUAAGAACUGCAUCGCUAGAAUUGUGGAGAGGUAAGUGGAAUUCCGAGUGUAGAGGUGAAAUUCGUAGAUAUUCGGAAGAACACCAGUGGCGAAGGCGACUCACUGGACACAUAUUGACGCUGAGGUGCGAAAGCGUGGGGGAGCAAACAGG
rnacentral:rRNA from 1 species